rnacentral:lncRNA from 1 species
CAGGUUACAGCCUUUUGAAGUACUAAAUUCACGUGAUUAACAAAACGGGAGCUCUUAGAAUAUGCUCAGUACAAUUUGUGUUUUUAACACAGUUAUGCCUUCUCAUAGGUCCCUUCGAUGGAAUCCACAUUAAAAGUCACAAUUAUUUAUUGCCCUGGAAAAACUCCAGAAGAACAUUGCCAGACAUCUAUGGCUGCACAGCAGACAGGCUAAAACACAGAAACAUCCAACAGAGGAUAUUGGAACAAUGCCAUGACAAUUACGGCCUCAAACCAGCAACAUGCCAGUUUCCAGUAAGGCUUUCUGAAGCUUUAGACCCCCCUGGCUGCUGAGAUGCUCUGGCAGAAAGCUAGUACUGGUGACUGCCAGCCCCCCUCGGUGUUGAAUAGCAAACAAGAGCGCUGAAGCUUGUGUCACGCACAGAGCCAUAGGUCGAUGGACUCUGUACCGAAGAAGAGCACCCAAAAAAGCCAAACUUCACAGGGCCACCCCUCCCCUUCCUGGCUGUAAGAGCAAUAACUCAUCGGCUGACGAGCCUUUGUCUCGGUGACAGCUGUGUAGGCCGCAGAGCCUCAGGGAGCCACGCCAAGAACCCGCCAUGGGAAGCAAGCCACCAGCAUCACUCUUGGAGAUUUAUCCCCCCUCGGCACUGGAGGUCAGAAAGUCACCCCCACUCUGCGCACUGCAGGCAGAAAUCCCACCGGGGAUCUGUUAUGGCUUCUGGUUUGCUUGGCUAUUCAAAAGCCAGUUUCUAGACUUCCAUCCAUGUCUGUGUCAUGUCAGUUUCAGUAAAGGAGAAUGUGGAAACGCUACACGUUUCAUAUAGAAUUAAGUGUUGUCUAUAUGUG